rnacentral:rRNA from 1 species
GACGUAGGGCGCGAGCGUUGUCCGGAUUUAUUGGGCGUAAAGAGCUCGUAGGCGGCUUGUCGCGUCGACUGUGAAAACCCGCAGCUCAACUAUGGGCUUGCAGUCGAUACGGGCAGGCUAGAGUUCGGUAGGGGAGACUGGAAUUCCUGGUGUAGCGGUGAAAUGCGCAGAUAUCAGGAGGAAUACCGAUGGCGAAGGCAGGUCUCUGGGCUGACACUGACGCUCAUGCACGAAAGCGUGGGGAGCAAACAGG